AUAGGUGAAAUUMGUUGAUUAAAAUAAAAUAGUAGAUGAASCUAAAAAGGUUGGGAGAUAAACUAGGAUUARAUACCCUAUUAUACCUAACUUGAAAGUUUUAAGCUGAAAUAUUAAUAGUUAUGUUCUUUAAAUUUARAGAAUUUGGCGGUGAUUUAGUCUGUUUARAGGAACCUGUUUCAUAAAUGAUAAACCUCAAAAUAUCUUACUUGAKUUUGUAUACCGUCWUUAUUARAUAAUUUUUACAGAAAAAAUUAUUAUAAUARAGUUUAUCUARUAUAUUAAAUCARGGUGCAKCUUAUGGGUAAGUGAAAAUGGGUUACAAUAANAUUUAUUUUACAACGGAGUGKUUUUUAUGAAGGUGGAUUUAAUUGUAAUAUAAKUUUAAUAAGCUUAUGUGAUAUUAGCUCUAAKUUAUGUACAUAUUGCCCGUCGCUUUC
rnacentral:rRNA from 1 species